rnacentral:rRNA from 1 species
UUGUAAGCGUAGUAAGGGCAAAUGGCGGACACCUUGGCAGUUGGAAGCGAUGAAGGACGUGGUUAGCUGCGAUAAGCUUCGGGGAGCCGCUAAGCAGGCUUUGAUCCGGAGAUAUCUGAAUGGGAGUGCCCCCUAGGAUGAAGUCCUAGGAGUUCGCACUGAAAUGAGUAGGUGCGUUCAGCGAACCCGGCGAAGUGAAACAUCUCAGUAGCCGGAGGAAAAGAAAUCAAUAGAGAUUCCCUAAGUAGUGGCGAGCGAAAGGGGAAGAGCCUAAACCGAACGUGUGUAAGACUGCAUUCGUUGCUCGUUCGGGGUUGUAAGCAGUUACAUCUUGUCCAUGCAGGGACAGGCAGGGUUAAAAGCGAUAUCUAGUCGAACGUCUCUGGAAAGAGCGACCGCAGGCGGUGAUAGUCCCGUAGACGAAAGGUUGAACUACCCUGGGAACUUGCUUGAGUAGCGUCGAACACGUGAAAUUCGGCGUGAAUCUGGGAGGACCACCUUCCAAGGCUAAACAUUACCAACUGACCGAUAGUGAACUAGUACCGCGAGGGAAAGGUGAAAAGCACCCCGGGAGGGGAGUGAAAUAGAACUUGAAACCAUUUGCCUACAGACAGUAGGAGCAUCCGUUGUUCUCUUCGGAGAACGCUGUGGUGUGACUGCAUGCCUAUUGUAGUAUGAGCCGGCGAGUUACGGUAUGUGGCGUUAGGUUAAGCCGAUGAAGGUGUAGCCGAAGCGAAAGCGAGUCUGAAUAGGGCGUAAGUCACAUGUCGUAGACCCGAAACCAGGUGAACUAGCCAUGGGCAGGUUGAAGUGUACUUGAUCGUACAUGAAGGACCGAACCCACUAGCGUUGAAAAGCUAGGGGAUGACCUGUGGUUAGGGGCGAAAAACCAAUCGAACCUGGUGAUAUCUGGCACUCCUCGAAAUAGUUUUUGGGCUAGCCUCACGUAAAAGAUCUAUCCGGGGGUAGAGCACUGGUCGGGGAAGGGGGGCAACUCCCGACCCUAGUCAAACUCCGAAUACCGGUAGAUUGUUUCGUGGGAGUCAGACUGUGGGUUAUAACAUCCAUAGUCGAGAGGGAAACAACCCUGACCGCCGUCUAAGGUCCCCAAAUCCAAGCUAAGUGGGAAAGGAAGUGUUGUUGUCGAAACAGCUGGAAGGUUGGCUUAGAAGCAGCCACCCUUUAAAGAGUGCGUAACAGCUCACCAGUCUAACGACGAUGCGCCGAAAAUUUAACGGGGCUAAGCUUGGUACCGAAGAUGCGGGUUUCCACUUUUAAGUGGGAGCGGUAGAGGAGCAUUCUGUUAACGGUUGAAGCUGAACUGAAAGGUCUGGUGGACGAGACAGAAGAGAGAAUGCCGGCAUGAGUAGCGCGAACGAUGUGAGAAUCAUCGUCACCGAUUGCCUAAGGUUUCCUGGGGAAGGUUCGUCCGCCCAGGGUUAGGCGGAACCUAAGGUGAACCCGAAAGGGGUA